rnacentral:rRNA from 1 species
GACGAACGCUGGCGGCGUGCUUAACACAUGCAAGUCGAACGGAAAGGCCCUGCUUGCAGGGUACUCGAGUGGCGAACGGGUGAGUAACACGUGGGUGAUCUGCCCUGCACUUCGGGAUAAGCCUGGGAAACUGGGUCUAAUACCGGAUAGGAGCCAUUUUUAGUGUGAUGGUUGGUAAGUUUUUUCGGUGUAGGAUGAGCUUGCGGCCUAUCAGCUUGUUGGUGGGGUAAUGGCCUACCAAGGCGGCGACGGGUAGCUGGCCUGAGAGGGUGGACGGCCACAUUGGGACUGAGGGACGGCCCAGACUCCUACGGGAGGAAGCAGGGGGGAAGAUUGCACAAUGGGCGCAGGCCUGAUGCAGCGACGCCGCGUGGGGGAUGACGGCCUUCGGGUUGUAAACUCCUUUCGCUAGGGACGAAGCUUUUUGUGACGGUACCUAGAGAAGAAGCACCGGCUAACUACGUG